UAUGCUGUAAAAACUAUUGGUCCAUUUGGUGAAGGGAAAGGAUAUUUAUGGGAUGAUGAGGUUCAUUCGGCAAUAAAGCAAAUAAGAAUUACACAUGGAGCUUUUGUGAGUUCCAUUUGUACUGAAUAUUAUAACGAUGAUGGUUUAUCAGAGUGGUCUAAGAAGCAUGGUCAAGACCUUGAACCCAAAAUGAGCACGAUUAAGCUUGAUUAUCCAGAUGAGUUUCCA